CAAACAUGUCAUCGUCUGAGACAACAUAGUGAUAAAAACUCCAUUUAGGGGCUGCUGUAGAAACAUGGCGGUGCAAAAUGGCAACUUCCUUGUAAGAGGACCAGCAGUGUAUCAAGACAAAACAGCUUCUAAGAUGAUGAAGAUGAUCAGCAUGAUGUCAGUGUGUGAUGUGAGGAGAGAGAUGAGAGAGGAGCUAUAAGACACUGAGGAGGAUGAAGAGGGAGGAGCUUCACCAAACAUCAUCAUCAUCAUAAUUCAACAUCAGGUUAAGAAUCAAAGUUUCUGUCCUGAAGAAAAUCUUCACACAUCACUGAAUCUGAUUGAAGUGAAAGAUCUCAUAUAUCUCAAACUGAAGACACGCUUGAUCUGAGAAACUCACAGGUGAGAAGAGUGAAGAAAGUGAAGAAUAUUCUGAUCAUCUUGUGAUUUGUUUUGUAUAAAGAUGAGCAGAUGAUGUUGAAUAAUGCUGAAAUGAUCAGACAGAGAAACUUUAAGAGACUCAAGAGAUCUGGAGGGAGGAGCUAAAAACACAAAACACUAUAAGACCCAAACACAUCAUCACAAUGUACUGUAGACACAUGAGAUUCAAGAUGUGAUGAAGAUUUGACUUAAACAAGAUCCAUUAUAUGAAAUGUUCAAUUAAAGUAUUAACACAAUUAAACCAUUACGAUCAAUCAGUUUGAUAACAACGACUCAUAUUGGUCAGAAGUUAUAAUUGCAUUGUGAUUUUCUUCAAACCAUCACAGUGAUGUUCACAGAUAUUUUACUUUAUUUCAUUGUUGAGUUUUAACCCUGAUGAUAUUUUUUAACACUUUCAAAUCUUUUCAGUCAUUAUCUGCUGUAAUACAUUAGAAGUGAAUGUGAGCAGUGACAGAUUAUGCAUUUAUAAACUGUAAUAUUGUCUUGUUAUUUUGAUAAAGAUUUCCACUGGUUAUUUAUCAGUAUGAUUAAAAUGAAAAUGUCAUUUUUGACAGGUUCAUUGGUUCAUUAUUUACAUUUGUUGUAAACUUUAUAUUUAUGUUACUUUUCCAUAAGCAAUGACAGUAAAGAUAUUUCUAAUUUUCUUUGGAGUAAAAGUGUGACAACUAGCCCCGGUCUUCCUUGUAUAUAAACUGCUGUAAUGUUGUAAUGCUGUAGAUGGCAGUAAUGCACCACUGAAGUCCAUUAGUAACGGGAAGUAAAAGAAGACUUUUACUUUGUAAAAAGCAUUGUUGUCUUGGCAACACAGA